rnacentral:rRNA from 1 species
AGUGAGCGGCAAAAGCUCAAAUUUGAAAUCUGGCUCUUUCAGAGUCCGAGUUGUAAUUUGAAGAAGGUAUCUUUGGGUCUGGCUCUUGUCUAUGUUUCUUGGAACAGAACGUCACAGAGGGUGAGAAUCCCGUGCGAUGAGAUGAUCCAGGCCUAUGUAAAGUUCCUUCGAAGAGUCGAGUUGUUUGGGAAUGCAGCUCUAAGUGGGUGGUAAAUUCCAUCUAAAGCUAAAUAUUGGCGAGAGACCGAUAGCGAACAAGUACAGUGAUGGAAAGAUGAAAAGAACUUUGAAAAGAGAGUGAAAAAGUACGUGAAAUUGUUGAAAGGGAAGGGCUUGAGAUCAGACUUGGUAUUUUGUAUGUUACUUCUUCGGGGGUGGCCUCUACAGUUUAUCGGGCCAGCAUCAGUUUGGGCGGUAGGAGAAUUGCGUUGGAAUGUGGCACGGCUUCGGUUGUGUGUUAUAGCCUUCGUCGAUACUGCCAGCCUAGACUGAGGACUGCGGUUUAUACCUAGGAUGUUGGCAUAAUGAUCUUAAGUCGCCCGUCUUGAA